GACAGAGGGUGCAAACGUUGUUCGGAAUUACUGGGCGUAAAGCGCGUGUAGGCGGCCAUGCAAGUCGGAUGUGAAAGCCCUCGGCUCAACCGGGGAAGUGCACUCGAAACUGCAAGGCUAGAGUCUCGGAGAGGAUCGUGGAAUUCUCGGUGUAGAGGUGAAAUUCGUAGAUAUCGAGAGGAACACCGGUGGCGAAGGCGGCGAUCUGGACGAUGACUGACGCUGAGACGCGAAAGCGUGGGGAGCAAACAGG
rnacentral:rRNA from 1 species